rnacentral:rRNA from 1 species
CGCACGGGUGAGUAACACGUAUCCAACCUGCCGUCUACUCUUGGACAGCCUUCUGAAAGGAAGAUUAACGCAAGAUGGCAUCAUGAGUUCACAUGUUCACAUGAUUAAAGGUAUUCCGGUAGACGAUGGGGAUGCGUUCCAUUAGAUAGUAGGCGGGGUAACGGCCCACCUAGUCUUCGAUGGAUAGGGGUUCUGAGAGGAAGGUCCCCCACAUUGGAACUGAGACACGGUCCAA